AAAUGUGAAGGCAAUCUAGCUGUGACAUCUGUCACCCUAUUGAUCACCAGGCUGAUCUGGCUGGCUAGGCAGGUGUCAUCUUCCUGCCUCAAUGCUCCACUUGUGUCCUUUCCAAAGUUGUGUGCUCAAUCGAAGAGGAAAAGAGAACAACGUUUCUCAAUAAAGAAGGAUUGGUCUUUGGUCAAAGGCAUGUGAGUUGCUGUGCUCCACUGCUAGAAUGUCCAGACAAGCUCUUAUAUAACUGAAAGCAUGUGUAGUCCAUAACGACUACAGCACGCCGAUUAAAUUCAUACAACUUUACCCCAGUAUGAAUU
rnacentral:snRNA from 1 species